CCUACGGGAGGCAGCAGUAGGGAAUAUUGCUCAAUGGGGGAAACCCUGAAGCAGCAACGCCGCGUGGAGGAUGAAGGUUUUCGGAUUGUAAACUCCUUUUGUUAGAGAAGAUAAUGACGGUAUCUAACGAAUAAGCACCGGCUAACUCCGUGCCAACAGCCGCGGGAAUACGGAGGGUGCAAGCGUUACUCGGAAUCACUGGGCGUAAAGAGCGCGUAGGCGGGAUAGCAAGUCAGAUGUGAAAUCCUAUGGCUUAACCAUAGAACUGCAUUUGAAACUGUUAUUCUAGAGUAUGGGAGAGGUAGGUGGAAUUCUUGGUGUAGGGGUAAAAUCCGUAGAGAUCAAGAGGAAUACUCAUUGCGAAGGCGACCUGCUAGAACAUAACUGACGCUGAUGCGCGAAAGCGUGGGGAGCAAACAGGAUUAGAUACCCCAGUAGUC
rnacentral:rRNA from 1 species